rnacentral:rRNA from 1 species
GACGAACGCUGGCGGCGUGCUUAACACAUGCAAGUCGAACGGAAAGGCCCUGCUUUUGUGGGGUGCUCGAGUGGCGAACGGGUGAGUAACACGUGAGUAACCUGCCCUUGACUUUGGGAUAACUUCAGGAAACUGGGGCUAAUACCGGAUAGGAGCUCCUGCUGCAUGGUGGGGGUUGGAAAGUUUCGGCGGUUGGGGAUGGACUCGCGGCUUAUCAGCUUGUUGGUGGGGUAGUGGCUUACCAAGGCUUUGACGGGUAGCCGGCCUGAGAGGGUGACCGACCACAUUGGGACUGAGAUACGGCCCAGACUCCUACGGGAGGCAGCAGUGGGGAAUAUUGCACAAUGGGCGGAAGCCUGAUGCAGCAACGCCGCGUGCGGGAUGACGGCCUUCGGGUUGUAAACCGCUUUCGCCUGUGACGAAGCGUGAGUGACGGUAAUGGGUAAAGAAGCACCGGCUAACUACGUGCCAGCAGCCGCGGUGAUACGUAGGGUGCGAGCGUUGUCCGGAUUUAUUGGGCGUAAAGGGCUCGUAGGUGGUUGAUCGCGUCGGAAGUGUAAUCUUGGGGCUUAACCCUGAGCGUGCUUUCGAUACGGGUUGACUUGAGGAAGGUAGGGGAGAAUGGAAUUCCUGGUGGAGCGGUGGAAUGCGCAGAUAUCAGGAGGAACACCAGUGGCGAAGGCGGCUCUCUGGGCCUUUCCUGACGCUGAGGAGCGAAAGCGUGGGGAGCGAACAGGCUUAGAUACCCUGGUAGUCCACGCUGUAAACGGUGGGUACUAGGUGUGGGGUCCAUUCCACGGGUUCCGUGCCGUAGCUAACGCUUUAAGUACCCCGCCUGGGGAGUACGGCCGCAAGGCUAAAACUCAAAGGAAUUGACGGGGCCCCGCACAAGCGGCGGAGCAUGCGGAUUAAUUCGAUGCAACGCGUAGAACCUUACCUGGGUUUGACAUGGAUCGGGAGUGCUCAGAGAUGGGUGUGCCUCUUUUGGGGUCGGUUCACAGGUGGUGCAUGGCUGUCGUCAGCUCGUGUCGUGAGAUGUUGGGUUAAGUCCCGCAACGAGCGCAACCCUUGUUCACUGUUGCCAGCACGUUAUGGUGGGGACUCAGUGGAGACCGCCGGGGUCAACUCGGAGGAAGGUGGGGAUGACGUCAAGUCAUCAUGCCCCUUAUGUCCAGGGCUUCACGCAUGCUACAAUGGCUGGUACAGAGAGUGGCGAGCCUGUGAGGGUGAGCGAAUCUCGGAAAGCCGGUCUCAGUUCGGAUUGGGGUCUGCAACUCGACUUCAUGAAGUCGGAGUCGCUAGUAAUCGCAGAUCAGCAACGCUGCGGUGAAUACGUUCCCGGG